GAUGGAAGGAGAGAGAUCUUUACUUGUAUAAAAUUGUUGUUACAAUCUAUUUGUGUGUUACUUUCGUGUUCAAAAUAGAAGAUGAUGUUUUUCUACAAAUUCUAAGUUUUAUUGACGUUUGAUAUUUUAAAAAAAAAGUUUAAACAGCUGAAGUGUGAAAAUCUCUUGAUUGUUUUUAUUUUUGUUUUUGUACUAGAGUUUAUACUUAAUUUUAAUCAUUAUUAUUUCGAAAAAAAGUGUUUCUGUAUUAAAUAUUUUAUUUAUAUAUAAACAUUCUGUAUUUAAGAAAUUUUGAUAAUUAAAAAAAAAGUAAAAAACAUAAUUCAUUCAUGUCACCGUACACGCGGCAUCGGUGAUAUUACUCAAAAUGGCAACACUAGAAAACGUAUCUUUUCUCGAUAUUAAAUCACAAUUUGGAGGUUUAAACGACAGUUCAGACUGGAUUCCACUUUCAUUGACACAUGUCGAGUAUCCUCAAGGUGAUGGAUUUGGAAAAUUUUUAGCUCUUAUUAGUUUAAUGCCCUUUGCCGUAUUGACGGGUUUUAUCACACUGAUCAUUUUUAGACGAGAUCUUCAUACAAUUGUAUUUUUUAUUGGUAUGGUCAUAAAUGAAGUUGUUAAUUUUUUGUUAAAACACACUAUUUGCGAAGCUAGACCUAUGAGACGUGAAGUUCUUUACUCCGAAUAUGGAAUGCCAUCGUCUCAUUCCCAAUUUAUAUGUUUUUUCACAGCAUACAUGGUACUUUUCGUAUUAAUCAGAUUACAUCAUAACAAUAAUAGUACAAUCUCAGAGAAAUUUUGGCGUAUGCUGACUAUAGUUCUUUCCAUUAUUGUAGCUGUAUUUGUAGCCUAUAGUAGAAUUUAUCUACAAUAUCAUUCAAAAGCUCAAGUGCUAUGUGGAAUGAUUUUGGGAAGUGCAUUGGGAAUCAUUUGGUUUUUAAUCACACAUUUGGUUCUAACUCCUUUCUUUCCUGUGAUCGUUUCAUGGAGAGCAUCAGAGUAUCUUCUAUUGAGAGACACAUCUCUUAUUCCAAACGUUUUAUGGUUUGAAUAUACAAAUAUACGCACAGAGACAAGAGCUCGUUCUCGUAAGCUCGUUUCUAUGAAGUCUCAAUGACGCCUAAUGGUGAACCAAUGAGCAGAAUGCAAAUAAAGAGAAAAUACCUUGUUAACUAUUUACAGAAAAGUCACAAUACUUAUUAUUAUUAAUAUAUUGCGUGGAUAUAAAAGCUCAGAUAAAAUUGCAUUUAUUCAAAGGCAAUGAUAGGAAAAAAAAACGAUUAUCGUAAGUCAGUACCUAUAAUAAUAAAAUGGACUGGUGAAGUCGAUCGGAAGGACAAAGAUCGACAUUUUAUUUCCUUUUUAAAAUAAGUAAAAUAAAAUUUUUUUAUUUAAAUAUUUAUUUUAAAAAGUUUUUAGAUAUACUGUACUGUAGUUAAUUUUUCAAAGUAAAAAUAUAGUGAUUUACAUGCUA